AGAGGGGUAGCUCAGUGGUAGAGUACAUGCCUAGCAUGUAUGAGGCUCUGGAUUUAAUCCCCAGCACUGCCA
rfam:Heterocephalus glaber contig172980, whole genome shotgun sequence.